rnacentral:rRNA from 1 species
GAUGAACGCUGGUGGCGUGCCUAAUACAUGCAAGUCGAGCGAACAGACGAGGAGCUUGCUCCUCUGACGUUAGCGGCGGACGGGUGAGUAACACGUGGAUAACCUACCUAUAAGACUGGGAUAACUUCGGGAAACCGGAGCUAAUACCGGAUAAUAUAUUGAACCGCAUGGUUCAAUAGUGAAAGACGGUUUUGCUGCCACUUAUAGAUGGAUCCGCGCCGCAUUAGCUAGUUGGUAAGGUAACGGCUUACCAAGGCAACGAUGCGUAGCCGACCUGAGAGGGUGAUCGGCCACACUGGAACUGAGACACGGUCCAGACUCCUACGGGAGGCAGCAGUAGGGAAUCUUCCGCAAUGGGCGAAAGCCUGACGGAGCAACGCCGCGUGAGUGAUGAAGGUCUUCGGAUCGUAAAACUCUGUUAUUAGGGAAGAACAAAUGUGUAAGUAACUAUGCACGUCUUGACGGUACCUAAUCAGAAAGCCACGGCUAACUACGUG